CCUACGGGAGGCUGCAGUGAGGAAUAUUGGUCAAUGGCCGGAAGGCUGAACCAGCCAUGCCGCGUGAAGGUCAGUGCCCUAUGGGCGUUAAACUUCUUUUGUGCGGGAGCAAUAAUGGUCACGUGUGGCCAGACGAGAGUACCGUACGAAUAAGCAUCGGCUAACUCCGUGCCAGCAGCCGCGGUAAUAAGGGGGAUGCAAGCGUUAUACGGAUUUAUUGGGGUUAAAGGGUGCGUAGGCUGUGAGGGAAGUCAGCGGUGAAAUGCCCCCGCUCAACGGGGUGAAGUGCCAUUGAGACUGCCUUGCUGGAAUGCGGAUGCCGUGGGAGGAAUGUGUGGUGUAGCGGUGAAAUGCAUAGAUAUCACACAGAACACCGAUUGCGAAGGCAUCUCACGAAUCCGCGAUUGACGCUGAUGCACGAAAGCGUGGGUAUCAAACAGGAUUAGAUACCCUUGUAGUC
rnacentral:rRNA from 1 species